rnacentral:rRNA from 1 species
UACGGGGGGAGCAAGCGUUGUUCGGAUUUACUGGGCGUAAAGGGCGCGUAGGCGGCCACCGCAAGUCGGUUGUGAAAUCUCUGGGCUUAACCCAGAAAGGUCAACCGAUACUGCGGGGCUAGAGUGCAGAAGGGGCAACUGGAAUUCUCGGUGUAGCGGUGAAAUGCGUAGAUAUCGAGAGGAACACCUGCGGCGAAGGCGGGUUGCUGGGCUGACACUGACGCUGAUGCGCGAAAGCUAGGGGAGCGAAGCGGG